UCCAUGAGCUCUCUGCUGUUCAAGCAGUGCUAACAAGUAUCGCCAUGGCGGCAACCAACCAACUGCUUGUACACCUGCUCCUGCCGCUGCUCUUGAUCUGCUUCCUCCUCCUCUCGAUCCAAACCUCCGCCGCCGGUGGUUUCACUGACAAGCUCGAGUGGGGCCAGAACCUCACCGACGGCCAGACGCUCGUCUCGCCCGGUGGCUCCUACACUCUCGGGUUCUUCUCUCCCGGGGCGUCCACCAAGAGGUAUCUCGGCAUAUGGUUCUCCGUAUCCAACACCACCGUCUACUGGGUCGCCAACCGCGAUCAGCCUCUGCCUGACAAGUUCGGCAUGCUGGUUUUCAACGAAGUCGACAGCCUCGUCCUGCUCGACGGCUCUGGCCGGACGGCGUGGUCUUCAAACUUCCCGGCCGCCUCCGCCGCGGCGGUCUGGCUUCUCGAGUCCGGCAACCUGGUCGUGCGCAACGGCAGCAGCGACAUCUCCCUGUGGCAGUCGUUCGACGAGCCCUCGGACACCUUGCUGCCCGGCAUGAAGCUGGGCAAGAACCUCUGGACCGGAGGCGAGUGGCAGCUCACGGCGUGGAGCUCCCCCGACGACCCGUCUCCGGGGGACUACCGCCGCACGCUGGAAACGGCCGGGCUGCCAGAGCUCGUGGUGUGGCAGCGCGGCGUCAAGAAGUACCGCACGGGCCCGUGGAACGGGCGAUACUUCAGCGGCGUCCCGGAGGUGUCGUGGUACGCGAACAAGUACACGCUGUGGGUGACGAAGAGCCCCUCGGAGAUGACCUACGGGUAUACCGCCGCGCCCGGCACGUCCCUUACCCGCGUCGUGUUGAACUACACCGCCGGCGGGGUGGAGCGGCUGGUGUGGGACGCGGGCACCGGGGAGUGGGUCUCCUACUUCAAGGGGCCGAGGGACCCCUGCGAUGCCUACGCGAGCUGCGGGCCGUUCGGCCUCUGCGACGCCGGGGCGGCGUCGUCGGGGUUCUGCGGCUGCGUCGAGGGGUUCAGCACUGUCGUCUCCGCGUCGCCAUCUGCGCAAGAGGUGAGAGAUAGCGCGGACGGGUGCCGGCGAAACGCGGCACUGGACUGUGACGGCGGGAAGACGACCGACGACUUCAAGGUGGUGCCUGGGGUGAAGCUACCGGACACGCAGAAUGCGUCGGUGGACAUGGGCGUCGAGCUGGAGGAGUGCAGGGAGAGGUGCUUCGCUGACUGCUCGUGCUUAGCCUACGCCGCCGCGGAUAUCCGAGGAGGCGGCGACGGUACCGGCUGCGUCAUUUGGAAGGAUGCCAUCCUUGAUCUUCGUUUCGUCGACGGCGGGCAAAAUCUCUACCUGCGGCUGUCAAAAUCGGAAUUUGAUGACUCUAAGGGGUUCCCUACACUACUUGUUGCCACCCCUAUAGCUUCUGCUUUUACGAUUCUUCUGGUACUCUUUGUGGUUUGGUGGAGAAGGAAGCGUCGAGUCGUUGGUGUUAUUCCUCAUAAUCCUGCCAUGGCGGUUCCUUCAGUUAGUCUAGCUAUUAUAAAGGAUAUCACUAUAAAUUUCUCUGAUGGCAAUAUGAUCGGCCAGGGUGGAUUUAGUGUCGUUUACAAGGGGAAGCUGCCGGAAGGAAGAACGGUUGCUGUCAAGAGGCUUAAACAGUCUGCGUUGACCACAAAAGGCAAGACAGAUUUCGUGAGAGAAGUUGAAGUCAUGGCUGGGCUCCGGCAUGGCAGUCUUGUUCGUCUCCUUGCUUACUGCAACGAAGGCAAGGAGCGGAUACUGAUCUACGAAUACAUGCAGAACAAGAGCCUGAACGCCUACAUAUUCGGUGCGGCCAAACUUCGUGCGUCACUGAACUGGGAAAAAAGACUAAAAUUAUUACACGGUAUAGCGCAUGGAAUUGCGUACCUACACGGAGGAUCAGGCGAGAGUGUGAUCCACCGUGACCUCAAGCCUGGAAACAUUCUUCUAGAUGGCGAGUGGAAUCCUAAGAUCGCCGACUUUGGCACUGCCAAGCUAUUCGCCGCGAUCGAUCAGGCGGGUCCUGAUCAAACAAUUGUGAUUUCACCGGGGUAUGCAGCUCCGGAGUAUGCACGGGGAGGGGAGAUGACCCUGAAGUGCGAUGUCUAUAGUUUCGGAAUUAUCCUCCUGGAGACACUCAGCGGGGAAAGAAACGGUGCCUUGCACAGGCUCCUUUCGCAUGCCUGGGGAUUGUGGGAGCAGAACCGGAUCGUGGAGCUUCUUGACACGACAAUGGUGCCACUUCCUGAAUCUGAGACAGAGCUAUUGUCCGAGCUAAAACGGUGCAUACAAAUAGGGCUCCUCUGCGUCCAAGAGACGCCCGGCGACAGGCCAGCCAUGUCGGCAGUUGUGUCCAUGUUAACGAGCACGACGUCCCAUAUUGACUGGCCCAGAAGGCAGGUGGAUAGCAGAGAAGCCGUGGAUUCAAAUUCGUCUCGUGGGCUUAGGACCGAUCUCUUGAGCUCUACUACAACUGAUCUGACGUAAACAGCAUGUGUCGACCGGUCGAGCUUGUCCAACUGUUGUUGCCUGGCGAUCACUUCAAUUUAUUGAAAACGGAGGAAGUAUGUGUGCAAGCUAGGCAACCUCGCAAGUUUCACAAGACUGCGGAGGUAAGAGAUUCGGCACCACUAAAACUCAUGCAUUUAGAUCUUUGUGAAAUGAAUGACGAGUUGAUAAAUGGUGGAAAGACAUGUUUUCUGACUUUAAUUGAUGACUCCACUCGAUAUUGUUAUGUGUACCUUCAGAAAUCUAAAGAUGAAACUUUUAAUCACUUCAAAAUCUUUAAGAGAUCCUUUGGUAUCCAACAAUUCAUCUCGAAAUAACGGAACUCAUUUGGCAAUUCCACAUGUAUGUUGUUUUACUGUCACAGAAUUCUAGCCUCAUUUCAUUUGCGGAUUCCACCAAAAUGACGUCAGACCUAAAGUUGAUUCCCAUCUCCGAUCCAUCAUUUGGAAAUCUACCU